rnacentral:lncRNA from 1 species
CCCACAUGCAUCUGUCCCACACCGCACGACUGCUGUGGCUCCGACAGCUUGAGGGACUUCCUGGCCACUUCGUGGUCCAUGCCAGAGACACGGACGCGGAACUGGUCCCUGCUGACCGUCUUCCGUAAGGUUCGGAUGGUUUUACGGAACCUCUUCUCUGUCUUUUUUCGGGCGCAGCGCACAUCACACGUGUCAACACAAUCCUUUUUAUUCCAGUGUAAUUUGUAGUUAGAAUGGC